UGCAAGGAGUAGUUUAAGUAGAAUUUCAGCUUUGGGUGCUGACGGUAGGGCUCAUGCUCUCUCCUU
rnacentral:tRNA from 1 species